rnacentral:rRNA from 1 species
CUUGUGGGUGAGGAGAAAAUCCUAAGGCGAUUGAGAGAACUCUCCUCCAAGGAACUAGGCAAAUUGACACCGUAACUUCGGAAGAAGGUGUGCCCUCGGUAGGUGUAGUCGUACAGACGAAGCCGAUGAGGGUCGCAGUGAAACGGCGGUAGCGACUGUUUACCAAAAACACAGGACUCUGCGAAGGCGAGAAGCCGACGUAUAGGGUCUGACUCCUGCCCGGCGCUGGAAGGUUAAGGGGAUUCGUCAGCCGCAAGGUGAAGCGAUGAUCCGAAGCCCCAGUAAACGGCGGCCGUAACGAUAACGGUCCUAAGGUAGCGAAAUUCCUUGUCGGGUAAGUUCCGACCUGCACGAAUGGAGUAACGACUUCCGCACUGUCUCGGAGAGGGACUCAGCGAAAUUGAAUAGCUGUGCCGAUGCAGUUUACCCGCAGAAAGACGGAAAGACCCCGUGAACCUUUACUAUAACUUGACAGUGACACUAGGGAUUGACUGUGUAGGAUAGGUGGGAGCCUUUGAAGCCGGGCCGCUAGGUUCGGUGGAGGCAAUGGUGAAAUACCACCCUGUUGAUUUCUGGUGUCUAACCGCGUCCCGUUAACCGGGAUCGGGACACUGUCUGGUGGGUAGUUUGACUGGGGCGGUCGCCUCCCAAAAUGUAACGGAGGCGCGCUAUGGUUCCCUCAGCCCGAUUGGAAACCGGGCGUCGAGUGCAAUGGCAUAAGGGAGCUUGACUGCGAGACCGACGUGUCGAGCAGGUGCGAAAGCAGGUCAUAGUGAUCCGGUGGUUCUGAAUGGAAGGGCCAUCGCUCGACGGAUAAAAGGUACUCCGGGGAUAACAGGCUUAUCUCCCCCAAGAGUUCUCAUCGACGGGGAGGUUUGGCACCUCGAUGUCGGCUCAUCGCAUCCUGGGGCUGGAGCAGGUCCCAAGGGUUUGGCUGUUCGCCAAUUAAAGCGGUACGCGAGCUGGGUUCGAAACGUCGUGAGACAGUUUGGUCCCUAUCUUCUGUGGGCGUAGGAUGCUUGAGAGGAUCUGACCUUAGUACGAGAGGACCGGGUUGGAGACACCUCUGGUGUACCAGUUGUCACGCCAGUGGCAUCGCUGGGUAGCCAUGUGUCGAUUGGAUAACCGCUGAAAGCAUCUAAGCGGGAAACCGACCUCAAGAAUAGGCAUCCCGGGGGAAACCCCCUAAAGACCCGUCGUAGACUACGACGUUGAUAGGCCGGGUGUGUAAGCGGAA